UCCAGAUGGCACCUGUUUGGAUCAAGGGCUUCCUCAAAUAAGCUUUAAGGAAGGUCAGAGAUUUUGUUUUAAACUCAGGGAUUGGGACUUCCCUGGUGGUCCAGCGGUUAGGCAACCACCUGCCAAUGCAGGGGACACAGGUUUGAUCUCUGGGAGCAAAGAUCCCACACACUGAGGAGCAGUUACACCCCUGAGCCACAAUGAACUGAGCCCGUGCUGCGGAGUUGAUGAGCUGCAACUGCAGAAGAAGCCUGUGCCGCAAUAAAGACCCAGCACAGGCAUCAGUGAAUAAUAUAAAUAGAUAAUAACCUUAGAAGUUAAGGAGAAGUACGGGGUAUGUCAUUCUUUGGGGCUUCUGUGACUCUUCUAGCAGGCUGAUUGUGGUGGGCAGAACUGUCGUCCUCCCCUGCCCCCACUCGGACCAUGAAGAUCCUCUAAUCCCUAGAACCUGUGGAUGUGUUACGUCACUUGGCCACAGUGAGUUCAGGUUGCAGAUACCAUUAAGGCUGCCAGUCAGCGGACUUUACAAUAGACAGAAGAGAUUAGAUUACCUCCAUGGGCUCAAUCUCAUCACCUGGAGAUCCGAGAAGGUGCCGAGAGCCGAGGACCAUGGCCGCCUCGAGGAGCCAGGAACAGCCCUCAGGUACAGCCAGCGAGAAAACAGGGACCUCGCUACAACGUCAAGGAGCUACAUUCUGUUAGCAACCCAAAUGGACAGAAAACAGGUUCUCCCCUAAAACUAGAGGCUUCAGAAAGGAACGCAGCAGCUGACCUCUGGAUUUCAGCCAUGCCUGCCAGACUUCUGACCUGCAGAGCUGUGAGGCAAUUUGUGCUGCUCCAAGUGCCCUCCCCAGGAUGGACAGACCCAAGCCUGCGCUCCGGUGCUUCAGGACUUGACAGGUGCCUCCUCCAGCUCUGCCCUCAGCCUCCUGCAGACUUGAUGUUCCAGCUCCCACGUCCACAGCCUCCUGUGUCUUCCAUCCCUGCCUCCUUCCUGUUGCUUCUUUUGUUGUUGUUAUUUUUAAAUUAAUUUUUGUUGAAGUAUA